AUGGAAUCCUUUUCACACGACCAGUUUGUACUGCUAGCGGUCACGCUAUGGGCAAUAUGGACGACCCGCCGGAAGGCAAUCCACGAAGGGAUUUUUCAAACACCACAUGCCACCACUGACUUUGUUAGGAGAUUCAUAGCGGAUCUCGAGGUGCUGGAAAACAGAACGGAAUCCACAACAAGAGGAGCACAUCCUGCUCAGAUCAGGCCGCGAGCUCCACCUACGGGAUGGUUCAAAAUUCAUGUUGAUGCCAGUGUUAGAACUGGGAGGGGAGGAUCAGUUGCCGCGAUUUGUAGGGAUCAGCAUGGCAACUACCUGGGGAGCUCAGCGCUGGUCAUUGCUGGAGUGGACGACCCUGCGAUUUUGGAAACGAUUGCUUGCCAUGAAGCGCUUGCUCUUGCGGAAGACCUCAACCUGAAUAAUCUGAUCAUCGCCUCUGACGCUAAGCAAGUGGUUAGUGACAUCUCAAAGUCACACAUAGGCAGAAAUGCUACAAUUAUUCAAGAGAUUAGAAGUAGAGCCUCUUCUUUCGUUUGUAAUUUUUUGUUUGAAGGUCGUGCGGCUAAUAGAGACGCACACAAACUUGCCAAGUAUUCACUCUCUCUAGGGCCGGGGCGCCACAUCUGGUUAGGCCAACCCCAGGCUCCGACUUGUAUCCCACGCGUUGUGGACUUUGAUGAAUAA
rnacentral:rRNA from 1 species